rnacentral:misc_RNA from 1 species
UCGAGUUCUGAAAGGGGUUGUAGCUGGCCUUCCGAGGCAUGUGCACACCCUGCUCAUCCACUCUAACACCUGUGCACCUUUUGUGGGCUUAUGGAGGGCAACCUCCUGGCCUGCGUCUCACACACACACUUAAAGUAUCAGAAUGUACAACCACAUCGUAUGAUGUAUUAUUAAUA